CGAACGCUGGCGGCAUGCCUAACACAUGCAAGUCGAACGAGACCUGGGUCUAGUGGCGCACGGUGCGUAACGCGUGGGAAUCUGCCCUUGGGUUCGGAAUAACAGUUAGAAAUGACUGCUAAUACCGGAUAAUGUCUUCGGACCAAAGAUUUAUCGCCCAGGGAUGAGCCCGCGUAGGAUUAGCUAGUUGGUGAGGUAAAGGCUCACCAAGGCGACGAUCCUUAGCUGGUCUGAGAGGAUGAUCAGCCACACUGGGACUGAGACACGGCCCAGACUCCUACGGGAGGCAGCAGUGGGGAAUAUUGGACAAUGGGCGAAAAGCCUGAUCCAGCAAUGCCGCGUGAGUGAUGAAGGCCUUAGGGUUGUAAAGCUCUUUUACCCGGGAUGAUAAUGACAGUACCGGGAGAAUAAGCCCCGGCUAACUCCGUG
rnacentral:rRNA from 1 species